rnacentral:rRNA from 1 species
UGGACGAAGACUGACGCUCAGGUGCGAAAGCGUGAGGAGCAAACAGGAUUAGAUACCCUGGUAGUCCACGCCGUAAACGAUGUCGACUUGGAGGUUGUGCCCAUGAGGCGUGGCUUCCGGAGCUAACGCGUUAAGUCGACCGCCUGGGGAGUACGGCCGCAAGGUUAAAACUCAAAUGAAUUGACGGGGGCCCGCACAAGCGGUGGAGCAUGUGGUUUAAUUCGAUGCAACGCGAAGAACCUUACCUGGUCUUGACAUCCAGAGAAUCCUGCAGAGAUGCGGGAGUGCCUUCGGGAACUCUGAGACAGGUGCUGCAUGGCUGUCGUCAGCUCGUGUUGUGAAAUGUUGGGUUAAGUCCCGCAACGAGCGCAACCCUUAUCCUUUGUUGCCAGCGGUCCGGCCGGGAACUCAAAGGAGACUGCCAGUGAUAAACUGGAGGAAGGUGGGGAUGACGUCAAGUCAUCAUGGCCCUUACGACCAGGGCUACACACGUGCUACAAUGGCAUAUACAAAGAGAAGCGACCUCGCGAGAGCAAGCGGACCUCAUAAAGUAUGUCGUAGUCCGGAUUGGAGUCUGCAACUCGACUCCAUGAAGUCGGAAUCGCUAGUAAUCGUGAAUCAGAAUGUCACGGUGAAUACGUUCCCGGGCCUUGUACACACCGCCCGUCACACCAUGGGAGUGGGUUGCAAAAGAAGUAGGUA